UAGGGAAUCUUCCGCAAUGGGCGAAAGCCUGACGGAGCAACGCCGCGUGAGUGAUGAAGGUCUUCGGAUCGUAAAACUCUGUUAUUAGGGAAGAACAAAUGUGUAAGUAACUAUGCACGUCUUGACGGUACCUAAUCAGAAAGCCACGGCUAACUACGUGCCAGCAGCCGCGGUAAUACGUAGGUGGCAAGCGUUAUCCGGAAUUAUUGGGCGUAAAGCGCGCGUAGGCGGUUUUUUAAGUCUGUUGUGAAAGCCCACGGCUCAACCGUGGAGGGUCAUUGGAAACUGGAAAACUUGAGUGCAGAAGAGGAAAGUGGAAUUCCAUGUGUAGCGGUGAAAUGCGCAGAGAUAUGGAGGAACACCAGUGGCGAAGGCGAAUUUCUGGUCUGUAACUGACGCUGAUGUGCGAAAGCGUGGGGAUCAAACAGG
rnacentral:rRNA from 1 species